GACGAACGCUGGCGGCGUGCUUAACACAUGCAAGUCGAACGAUGAAGCUGGAGCUUGCUCUAGCGGAUUAGUGGCGAACGGGUGAGUAACACGUGAGCAAUCUGCCCUUGACUCUGGGAUAACUGCGGGAAACUGUAGCUAAUACCGGAUACUUUCACCGGGGGGCAUCCUCUGGUGAUGAAAGAAUUUCGGUCAAGGAUGGGCUCGCGGCCUAUCAGCUUGUUGGUGAGGUAACGGCUCACCAAGGCGACGACGGGUAACCGGCCUGAGAGGGUGACCGGUCACACUGGGACUGAGACACUGCCCAGACUCCUACGGGAGGCAGCAGUGGGGAAUAUUGCACAAUGGGCGCAAGCCUGAUGCAGCAACGCCGCGUGAGGGAUGAAGGCCUUCGGGUUGUAAACCUCUUUUAGCAGGGAAGAAGCGAAAGUGACGGUACCUGCAGAAAAAGCACCGGCUAACUACGUGCCAGCAGCCGGGGUAA
rnacentral:rRNA from 1 species